GUGCUUGUCUCCACAGCACUUAUACUAGAAAACUGGAAUGAUAGAGAGAAGAUUAGCAUAACCCUGUUUAAAAAUAGCAUGCACAUUGAUGAAGUAUUUUAUAUUUUU